UGAUAUCCGAGUAAAGGGAAUGGAGGUCGACUGUUUGAGUAUUGAAAGUUGAGAAAAUGCUUCACUGUGUACCUUCAAAUCAGGCAAAGCCAGCAACUGGUGGAGAAGAUUGUUUUUUUUUUCCCCGUACAGUCCUUUUUCCUUCUAUGUCUUCACACGCUUACGGAUCCCCUCAUAAUAAAAUGAGGCUGGACGGUUCCCGAGUCAGCACUGUGCCUUCACUCUGACCUCGUCAUCGCUGAAGUUCCAGCCUUGGAGAGCUUCCUUCACUGGGCCAAACUGAUGAUCAGCUGACAGUCCUACAGUGCAAGAUCCAGGCUGUAAGGCCAUUUUAAAGUCCCCGCCGCGUAAGAGGACCAUAACGCUUCAACAUCAACAUCAUUUUUUGGUGAAAACAAUGUAUUUGGUAAAUUCUCAGUGCUGUAACAACCAAACGGCUGCCUCCGAGGUGGAGACCUGUACUUCCUGUGCUGGAUAGAGGGCGUUGCUCUCCUCUGUGUCGAGACAUUUCUUCGGGAAGAAAAGGACAUUGCAAAACACAAGAAACCAUUGUCCUGACUGUACCUCCCUCAUUGUGAGGACAAUGCUAACUAUUUCACACCGCACUGGGCUGCAAUAUGAUACUUAACAUGAGCCUACUAGACGAUCAGUUAAAAAUGAACUACACAAGCACUUCUGAUAAAUAUCCAGCACAGAAGGAGCUCUUCUCCCAAGAGC